AUAAUUACCAAUAAUCAUGGUGUCUGAAAAAGACUUAAUAGGGAAUCUGGUGAAAUUCCAGAACUGUACCCGCAACUGUAAAUGCUGACGAAAUAAACGGAUCCACUGUCUUCGGAUGGGAAGGGUUUAGAGUAGGAUGAAGCAUAAGUCAGGAGACCUGCCAUUUUUAUGAAGUAUGA
rnacentral:ncRNA from 2 species